rnacentral:rRNA from 1 species
UACGAAGGGGGCUAGCGUUGCUCGGAAUUAUUGGGCGUAAAGCGCACGUAGGCGGCUUGGCAAGUCGGAUGUGAAAUCCCUCGGCUCAACCAAGGAAGUGCAUCCGAAACUGCUAAGCUUGAGUACUUAAGAGGAUCGCGGAAUUCCCGGUGUAGAGGUGAAAUUCGUAGAUAUCGGGAGGAACACCAGUGGCGAAGGCGGCGAUCUGGGAAGAUACUGACGCUGAGGUGCGAAAGCGUGGGGAGCAAACAGG